AUUGAACGCUGGCGGCAGGCCUAACACAUGCAAGUCGAACGGUAACAGGAAGAAGCUUGCUUCUUUGCUGACGAGUGGCGGACGGGUGAGUAAUGUCUGGGAAACUGCCUGAUGGAGGGGGAUAACUACUGGAAACGGUAGCUAAUACCGCAUAACGUCGCAAGACCAAAAAGGGGGACCUUCGGGCCUCUUGCCAUCGGAUGUGCCCAGAUGGGAUUAGCUAGUAGGUGGGGUAACGGCUCACCUAGGCGACGAUCCCUAGCUGGUCUGAGAGGAUGACCAGCCACACUGGAACUGAGACACGGUCCAGACUCCUACGUGAGGCAGAAGUGAGGAAUAAUGCACAAUGGGCGGAAGACUGAUGCAGCCGUGCGGCGUGUAUGAAGAAGGCCUUCGGGUUGUAAAAUACUUUCAGCGGGGAGGAAGGGAGUAAAGUUAAUACCUUUGCUCAUUGACGUUACCCGCAGAAGAAGCACCGGCUAACUCCGUG
rnacentral:rRNA from 1 species